CCAAAAAUCCCACCUUCCCCAAAAGACGCUGGUUUUUUUUCCUCCUCCAUCCUUUGUCGAACCCAAUUCUCAAGCAGCAGGAAAAUCAACCGAACCUCCAUCCCACGCAUCCCCGCCCUUCACCGAUCUUCCCCGGGUAUUUGCAUCAAUCUUUGAAGUUUUUUUUUUAUAUUUUUUUAAACCGAACCCAAUUCUCCAUCCAACGCAUCCCCAUCGCCGAUCCUCAAGAAAUCCAAUGCAUCCCCUUCGCCGAUCUUCAGGGAACCCAACGCUGCCCUUCACCGAUCUUCCUCAGUAAACGACUAUGUUGAUGAGCAUGCUGAGUCUUUCGGCAAGAGUGUUUUGAGAUUAUGCAGGGUGCAAAACUUACAGAUUUGGCUUGGAGUUUUGUGCAGGGUGCAAAACUUACAGAUUUGGCUUGGAGUUUUGUGCAGGAUGCAAAACUUACAGAUUUGGCUUGGAGUUUUGACAUUGAGAUAGUUGAUAAUGAAAUGCUUGGAAAUUUGACAGUGAGGUGAAUUGUUCAUGAAAUGCUUGCAACUGUUGGUACUUGAUGAUGUUUUGUAGGCUACUUGUCCAAAGGCUGUUGAAUGGGUUCACUGAGCUCAAUUUCUAUGCAAGCCUCAUGUCUAUGUUUGGUCCAUGUAUAUGUACAUCCCAGUUUUUGUUACCAGUAUCAAAAUUGAAGAAUAAGCCCCUUCUUUGUCAAGUUAAGAUUGUAAAAGAAUGAAGAUUAGUGAUGCUAAAAAUUUUCCUAUUGAAGAGUCUUUCCCUUUUAUUUUAAUUUGCAAUCUAAGGAGAAUCAUCAUCUGCAAACACCUACAUUCACAUUGUGCCUAUCAAUAGGAAGAUGAAGUUGCCUGUAAUCUUAAUGUAAUAAUGUUCGCAUCACACAUCCUCCGAAGAGCUAAUGCCUUUUAGCAAUGUAAAGCGAGAGAUAUCUUGUAUUAUUUGCAUCGGAAACAAUGAGAAUUGCAAACUCAAGAAUUACA